rnacentral:rRNA from 1 species
GACGAACGCUGGCGGCGUGCUUAACACAUGCAUUUCGAACGGAAAGGCCCUGCUUUUGUGGGGUGCUCGAGUGGCGAACGGGUGAGUAACACGUGAGUAACCUGCCCUUGACUUUGGGAUAACUUCAGGAAACUGGGGCUAAUACCGGAUAGGAGCUCCUGCUGCAUGGUGGGGGUUGGAAAGUUUCGGCGGUUGGGGAUGGACUCGCGGCUUAUCAGCUUGUUGGUGGGGUAGUGGCUUACCAAGGCUUUGACGGGUAGCCGGCCUGAGAGGGUGACCGGCCACAUUGGGACUGAGAUACGGCCCAGACUCCUACGGGAGGCAGCAGUGGGGAAUAUUGCACAAUGGGCGGAAGCCUGAUGCAGCAACGCCGCGUGCGGGAUGACGGCCUUCGGGUUGUAAACCGCUUUCGCCUGUGACGAAGCGUGAGUGACGGUAAUGGGUAAAGAAGCACCGGCUAACUACGUGCCAGCAGCCGCGGUGAUACGUAGGGUGCGAGCGUUGUCCGGAUUUAUUGGGCGUAAAGGGCUCGUAGGUGGUUGAUCGCGUCGGAAGUGUAAUCUUGGGGCUUAACCCUGAGCGUGCUUUCGAUACGGGUUGACUUGAGGAAGGUAGGGGGAGAAUGGAAUUCCCGGUGGAGCGGUGGAAUGCGCAGAUAUCAGGAGGAACACCAGUGGCGAAGGCGGUUCUCUGGGCCUUUCCUGACGCUGAGGAGCGAAAGCGUGGGGAGCGAACAGGCUUAGAUACCCUGGUAGUCCACGCUGUAAACGGUGGGUACUAGGUGUGGGGUCCAUUCCACGGGUUCCGUGCCGUAGCUAACGCUUUAAGUACCCCGCCUGGGGAGUACGGCCGCAAGGCAAAAACUCAAAGGAAUUGACGGGGCCCCGCACAAGCGGCGGAGCAUGCGGAUUAAUUCGAUGCAACGCGUAGAACCUUACCUGGGUUUGACAUGGAUCGGGAGUGCUCAGAGAUGGGUGUGCCUCUUUUGGGGUCGGUUCACAGGUGGUGCAUGCCUGUCGUCAGCUCGUGUCGUGAGAUGUUGGGUUAAGUCCCGCAACGAGCGCAACCCUUGUUCACUGUUGCCAGCACGUUAUGGUGGGGACUCAGUGGAGACCGCCGGGGUCAACUCGGAGGAAGGUGGGGAUGACGUCAAGUCCUCAUGCCCCUUAUGUCCAGGGCUUCACGCAUGCUACAAUGGCUGGUACAGAGAGUGGCGAGCCUGUGAGGGUGAGCGAAUCUCGGAAAGCCGGUCUCAGUUCGGAUUGGGGUCUGCAACUCGACCUCAUGAAGUCGGAGUCGCUAGUAAUCGCAGAUCAGCAACGCUGCGGUGAAUAAAUUCCCGGG